UUCCGGUUGCUCUUUGCCAGACGGUGGGU
rnacentral:sRNA from 1 species